CAGUUCUUCAAGGAAUAUCUGAUGGAUUAUCCAGAGGCAAGAAACCCGAUGAGAUGGAGAUAUUAGUUAAAGAUCUCUGGAAGUCAAAUAUGAACCAGUCACAAACUUCUGACAAAAUUAACAAGGACAUCAUCUCGCACUUCGUACUUCGUCUAGUUUAUUGUUGAACGUAAGUUGUUACUACUUAUUCCAUCAAUAAAACAGUCUUCUCUAAAUGGAUGUCAGCUUUAGUUCUUUGCAACCUGUUUCCUCAUUUGAUCAGGGAUGAAUUGAGAAAAUGGUUCCUUUCAAUGGAGACUACACUCUUUCGUUAUCUCAGAGAGCACUGAUGGUGGAAUUUGAUCUUCCCUACAAAGUGGUUUCAAAUACUGAACUAGAGAAUUUGAAGGAAAAGCUGAACCAAGUUGCAAGGUCCAUGGGUCAAUCUCUAUCUACUGGUAACUACUGAUCAUUACUUUUUGUCCUGAAAUGUUGAUUUGAGUCUUGGAUACCUUUUGUCUUGCAUUGCUAGAGCUUAUUUGAUGUAGGAUUAUUUGGAGAAUUGGAGUCAUUUGGAUUUAUUGACUAAAAUAUCAUUUGUAUAUCAUAUUUAAAAUGUUGUAAAAAAAUAUAUAGUAAUUUUAGUUGAUUAUUUGAAUGAUAAAGGGAUUUAUGAUAGAAUAAAGGUUUUUAUUAAAGUAUUUGAGAAAAAAUAAGAGAUCUUACUGUGUUUUAACAUUCUCCGUUUGGUGAUACCAUAUUCUAUAAGGUGUGUACUUCAUAAUUGAAGCAAACCGCAAGAAUACACUCUUUACAGUUCUAAGAAAAGAAGCACGGUUGAUAGCUAAUGCAUAUUUGUUCAUAGCAAGGAAUACAAAUAGGAACUAGGUAUCACAUGUUCGUAUUUGUACCCUUCGUCUACAGCUUUAAUACCAUGUAAAAAGUCGGUUAUUAUUACACAAUCUCUAUUAUGUAAUAAUAACCAAUUCUCCAUCAAUAAGAAUUCUCAAAGUUCUUUUAAAUGGUAUCAUAGUUUCAAGUUGAGAUUCUUCAGUUCUUUUAAAGUGAUUUCCUUUGGCUAGAAGUCGAAGACGACUCGUGAUGGAGAAGCUGAAAGCCCCCAAAAGUACGUUUCUUCCUAUAUCUCUCGUUGUCAGGAAUUCUGUUUACCAUUUUCAGCUCGUUAUGGCUUUUUUCUCUUCUUAGGGAGUCAACUGGUAACAAGAAUCAGCCAAAUCCAUGAUCUAUGAAGCUUUUUUGAUUCGUUGAUACUGUCGUUAAUGUUAAUACAGGUCUGUGAUAGUCUUGGAUGCUCUUUGUUACUCCACAGUAACUUGCGGCUGUGAAAUCACAGUAAUAUAGCUAGGGUUCUGAAUUUCAUUCUCUCUUCAACUUCUUUAGCUCAUCAUUUCCUUUGUUAAUUGAUUGAGUAGAGACAAUCAUAUUCAGACAGGUGUGAAGUAAACUCAUCUCUCUUUAUUCUUCUUUUUCUUCCGGACUUUGAAUCAUGUAGCGGUUGCUUCUUCGCACGGCUGAUUGGAACUUCGGUUGUGAGAUCACGGUAAUAUAGUUAGGGUUCUGAAUUUCUCUCUUCAUUUUCAUAUAAAAAAUGUAUUUACUAAUAGCUCGUCAUUUCCUGAAAGUAAUUUGUCAAUUGAUUGAGUAGAGACAAUCAUAUUCAGACAGUAAAAUUGAAUGAUUAAUACUUGCUUUGACUUGUCUCCAUUAGUUUAAAUUGAGCUCUGAAUUGAAUCGAUUUGGUGUCCUUGGGACCCUUACAAAUGAUUUUAGCGAGAAUUCUCUAACUAGAAAAGGGAUUUGAGUUUCUUGGUGCACUGAGAAGUCAUAUCAGGUAUAUUAAUUAGGAAUUAUAUACUUGAUUUUAUUUUAAAUAUGAUUUAUUAUAAGAGAAAUAGUCUCACUGACCUAAAUUGGUUUCGAUAAACCCACAACCUGUAAACCAAUCCAAAUUGCAUCCUUCAGUCCACAAAGUAAGGUUUGAUUCUUCAAUUCCUUUGAUUUCUCUCCUUAGCAAGUUGUAUUCGAGACGUUUGUUCAUACUUAUUUGGUGCUGCAGCUGGCUUGUGUCAACUAGCGCACGCUUUAAAGGGUGAUAUUGGUGGGUUUGUUAAAAUGGGUGGGGAGAAGAAUGGCAGUGAAGAAGUGAAGCACGUCCUUGAAAUGGUUGAGACUUCUUCCUUAUUACACAUGAACGAUUAAACUUUACAAAAGAAACCUCAUUUCUUUUUUUUUGUUCUUCAGGCUAUAAGGGAUUCAUCUAGGAGGGAGAUUCUUACAUCUUUCUCACGCCACAUGUUCUUAAAGAGACUGUUUUGAUGUUCUCAAAACAUUUGCACAAGGAGGAUACCAUUAGGUUUAUCAAUAUUUGAUUUGGGUAACUAAUUUAAGUAGAGAAGUGGUUGGAAGAUGAAAGAUGAGUCAUAUCUCUAUAGGUGUAGUUAUUGGAGUGUUGUUUUCUCUAUUGACACUCUUGUGUAUCAGAUAUCACAUAUUGUUUUAUGAUCUAAAGUCUUAAUAGAGGACUAUGGAUGAUUAUUUGGAUUUUGUAUUGAAGGAGUUGAUG